rnacentral:rRNA from 1 species
UUAUCGGAAUGAGAACAAUUCAAAUCCUUUAACGAGGAUCUAGCGGAGGGCAAGUCUGGUGCCAGCAGCCGCGGUAAUUCCAGCUCCGCAGGUGUAUAUCUAUGCUGCUGCGGUUAAAAAGCUCGUAGUUGGAUCUGCGUGCUCGGAACUGGUUGGCUCACUGAGUUCAAACUGGUCUCCGGCGCUUUAUUGGCUGGUUUUCCCUUGAUGCUCUUAACCGGGUGUCUUGGGUGGCUAGCACGUUUACUUUGAAAAAAUUAGAGUGCUCAAUACAGGCGUAAAGCCUUGAAUCGUGGUGCAUGGAAUAAUAGAAUAGGACCUCGGCUCUAUUUUGUUGGUUUUCGGAACGCGAGGUAAUGAUUAAGAGGGACAGACGGGGGCAUUCGUAUUGCGACGUUAGAGGUGAAAUUCUUGGAUCGUCGCAAGACGGACGACUGCGAAAGCAUUUGCCAAGAAUGUUUUCAUUAAUCAAGAACGAAAGUUAGAGGUUCGAAGGCGAUCAGAUACCGCCCUAGUUCUAACCGUAAACGAUGCCAACUAGCGAUUCGCAGGCGUUAAACAACGACCUUGCGGGCAGCUUCCCGGAAACGAAAGUGUUCGGGUUCCGGGGGAAGUAUGGUUGCAAAGCUGAAACUUAAAGGAAUUGACGGAAGGGCACCACCAGGAGUGGAGCCUGCGGCUUAAUUUGACCCAACACGGGAAAACUCACCCGGCCCGGACACCGUAAGGAUUGACAGAUUGAGAGCUCUUUCUUGAUUCGGUGGGUGGUGGUGCAUGGCCGUUCUUAGUUGGUGGAGCGAUUUGUCUGGUUUAUUCCGAUAACGAACGAGACUCUGGCCUACUAAAUAGUGGGCGGAUUCUUUCUGUCCGCAACACUUCUUAGAGGGACAAGCGGUGUUCAGCCGCACGAGAUUGAGCAAUAACAGGUCUGUGAUGCCCUUAGAUGUCCGGGGCUGCACGCGCGCUACACUGAAGGAAUCAGCGUGCUUUCUGACCUUGCCCGAAAGGGCUGGGUAACCCGAUGAAAAUCCUUCGUGAUUGGGAUAGGGACUUGCAAUUAUUUCCCUUGAACGAGGAAUUCCCAGUAAGUGUGGGUCAUAAGCUCGCGUUGAUUACGUCCCUGCCCUUUGUACACACCGCCCGUCGCUGCCCGGAACUGAGCCGUUUCGAGAAGAACAGGGACCGUCGUUGAAGGGCCUUAACGGGCUUUUCUCUGAUAGAAACUGUU